rnacentral:lncRNA from 1 species
GUAGACAGGGAGAAUUGAGAUGUGAUAUUUUUAGCAUAUCCACUUGGACUGCUUUUCUGAAAACUAUAACUAGCAUUCAUUCAUUCAUUCAUUCAUUGUGUAUUUGUAACAUGAGUAGGAUGAGUUAAGGGAGAGAAUUAACACUGAUUUAGACUCUGUACACUAUGCUUUCUGUUGCUAUGUUUCAAUUACUUUUUAUUUUUAACAUAAUUUUCACCAUAAACCAUGCCUUUAUUUUGAUGAUUGUUUUAUAUGGCAGUGUUUACAGAAUCUGUUCACCAAUGACUUUGACUUUUAUUUCUCACUGUUCUUUCCAACUUUAAGGGGAAAGCCUCUUCCCCGGGAUGACUGUGACAUUGCUGGGAUUUUCUACUUAGUGGACGGAAGUCACAUUAAGUUACAGAACUAUGGUUAGCCACUUAAACUCCCUGGUUUCGUGCAAAGGCCUGGCUUACUUUACUGGAAAACAUAUUUCUCCUUUCCCUGACUAGGGCAACAUGGGCAGCAUACAGCAGGGGAGAGGAAGCCCACUUCUUCUACUCCCUAACUGCGGGGCUGACCAUUUUGUAUUGGAUAACCAGUUGGUGUUUUCUUCCCUGGAGAAGACUGAUUUUCCCACUCAGCUUUCCUUACCUGCCCUGAAUAAAACAUAAACACCAGGGAACACGUUGAUGCAACUGAGAAGUAUAAAAGUUGGAAGUCAGAAGAGUCAGUGAGAGUCCCUCUCAGACAAGCCAAGGUGAAAAGACCACUCAAGACCAGACAAGCUGCCUGGAAGAUGUUUAGACCUACUGAGGCAUAUGGAAAGGAUACUCUGCAACUUGUUGAUCUGAUUACAGGCUGUGCAGUGUGCUCCAGGCUCCCUGCUUUUGUGAGCUGUCAACCAUGCUGGGGUGGGCUUUGGUGAUGCAGCUGUCUCUGAAUUAUUUCUGCUUCUACAAGUAAUCUCUCACCUAUAUUACUCUAAG